ensembl:lncRNA
CAUUGGAAGUCCACCAGCCUCACUCCUGACUAUGAACUGGAGUGGAGACCUUAUUCCCACAUAUAUUAAUUUACUAAUAUCAUUUGAUUCCAUAAUCAGCCCAGUUAACUUAUAGUUUGGACCUAAGGAUAUAAGUAGAUUUUACAAGAAGAAAUUUAACUCAAAAAUUACAAUAUUAUUUGAGAUUGUUUUUGAUAUCAUGCUAAAAGACAGCACAUGUUAAAAAUUUGAAAACCGAGUCAGCUUGUGGGUUGCUUCCUCCCUGUCAAAAAGGUGGCUUGAUAAUUAGCUUUGCCAUUACAAGGCAAGGAGAGAAGACAGUCAUGUCCAUCCCUGUCACUGGACCCCUGUGGUCAGCUGGUGUUGGCAGUUGAAAGGGUGCUCCUGGAAGACUCCGACCUAGAUGAAAAAGUGGCCUGGCUGUUGGGCCAGAAGCCCUCUCUGUCGUUGAGGUUCACUCCCAGUGGCCGGAAAUGCCACCGAGAGAUGCGCGCUGCGUGGGGGUUCUGAACGAUCGGCUUCAGCACCCGGCCCAGGUGGACAGCGACGAGCGCAGCAGCCCGCCUCACCCUCCCUGCGCGGCCACUGCGCGCGCCUCGCCUCUGACCCCUGCCAGCAGCGUGCCCAGCGCCACGUCCAGCGCCAGCACCUCGGCGCUGUCUGGCCACGCGAUCGCCUUGUACAUCUCCCUGUGCCUCCUUGCCCAGGCCUGCCAGGAGCUGUGUGCGCGUGUCCAGAGCUGCAGCUGCUCCCCAAGGCAGGGCUCCCUAUGUGGCCCCCUCUGUUGCCUCUCUCAGGGCUUCUAGGCACGUCCGUGGGGAGGCAGCAAGAACAUGUAAAAACUUCCCCAAGCUGGUGCUGAUAAGUAUACCCCUUCACGUCAUAAAGGGCUCUAGUCCCCGUUGAAGUCUGUCUUGCUUCUGGAGAUUUUCUAAAACCCUGUUUUGUUUUAAAAUGCAUUCAUCCUGUUUUGUAAUUAUAUGUAUUUCUGGUAACUUUUUAUUUCAUGCUGGUCUUCACUCCAAGUUUUUAGCACAGCUUGAAUUUGUGU